UUUCCGUAGGUGAACCUGCGGAAGGAUCAUUACAGAGUUCAUGCCCGAAAGGGUAGACCUCCCACCCUUGUGUAUUAUUACUUUGUUGCUUUGGCGAGCGCAAGCUCUCCAGAGAAUACCAAAACUCUUUUUAUUAAUGUCGUCUGAGUACUAUAUAAUAGUUAAAACUUUCAACAACGGAUCUCUUGGUUCUG
rnacentral:misc_RNA from 1 species